rfam:Leucoagaricus sp. SymC.cos contig842, whole genome shotgun sequence.
GGCCACCUAGUGAAAUGGCAUUGCAUCUGACUAUAAACUUAUAAAGAUUCACAAAUUAGGAGAUUGCAGGUUUGAUCCCUGUGAUGGUCA